CGAACCGAGCGAACGUUGUUCGGAAUCACUGGGCUUAAAGGGCGCGUAGGCGGGCUGCCGCGUCCGGGGUGAAAUCCCACGGCUCAACCGUGGAACGGCCCCGGGUACGGGCGGCCUCGAGGGGGGUAGGGGCGUGCGGAACUGUGGGUGGAGCGGUGAAAUGCGUUGAUAUCCACAGGAACUCCGGUGGCGAAGGCGGCACGCUGGACCCUCUCUGACGCUGAGGCGCGAAAGCCAGGGGAGCGAACGGGAUUAGAUACCCCGGUAGUCCUGGCCCUAAACGAUGAGAACUGGGUAGUAGCCCUGGCAUGGGGUUACUGCCGCAGCCAAAGUGCUAAGUUCUCCGCCUGGGGAGUAUGGUCGCAAGGCUG
rnacentral:rRNA from 1 species